rnacentral:lncRNA from 1 species
UUUUUUUUUUUUUUUUUUUUUUUACCAACACAGGAAACCGUGAUUGUGACAAAAAGCAGACAUGCUUUCCUCAUACCACCUUUGGUGCAGUACAACUCUAUACUAGUUACUGUGCUGUUUGAAAUGAGGUCACACCAUCAGGAAAAAUGCCCUUCUGAUGACAGUGAAAACUUCCAAAGUCUUAUUCAUGAAUACUUUGAUUUACUGUGUGAUUCUUUGUUUCUACAUCUGUGACAUGCCUCUUCCUUAUCAACUCAGCAGGGGUCAUAGAUUGAAUAGAUGCUGAAAGGCAUAAGUUAUCUGCAUUUCUUGACAUCGUUUUUUUUAGACAUUCCUUCAAAUAGUUUCCACACAGAAAUUCCUCAGUCCCAUUAUAAGAGAUUGUGGUGUUAUAUGUCUUAAAUUUAUUAUAAGCUGCUUCAAAGAAAGAACCUGAUGUUUGAGUUAUAAGGAAGUGAAGUUUUGAGGUAAACUACAGGACUUGGUAUUCAGGAUUUUUAAAAUUAUAGUUCAUGUAUUUUCCCUUUUUCUGCCAUGAUUUCUUUCUUACCUGUUUUCCAGCAUACUUGCAAACUCGUAAGCACCAAAUGUGAGACAUAAAAACGUUACAGUUCGUUUGAGAACAGCAACAAUUAAUGAUGGAUUAUAUUCACAUUCCACAAUGGAGACCAAAAUUUUUUCUUGUUGCACAGAUGUCUGAGCACAAAUUGCCCCUUUUAGCCAGAAGCAGCCUGUUUCAUCCUUGAAUUAAACACACUUAAGGCACUUGAGACAAGUUAUUAAUGAAAAUUUCCUUGGCAGAUUUGACAAAUGUUUGCAGCAAUUUUUCAAAAUUAAAUCAUAUUGUUCUUAUGAAUAAAUAAAAAUAUAAAGGUCAUGGACACAAACAAAUGUUACAUAUACACAUUCUGUCUAACCAGAUGGAAAGAAAAAUGGGCACAGAAAAUGCAAGACCAUCCAUUCACCAAAAUAUCAAAUAAAAUGAGUCCCCAGUUGGGCACCAGCUUUCAAAGGAAUAUUCAACGUGUGCUUCUACUGUGGCUGGACAACCUUGCACUGGACCCAAAGAGAGAAUAAAGCGAUAUGUAGAAUUAGAGGACACUUUUCCUGUUUCCUGCACAGCAUUCCGCACGGCCUUUCUUGAUUUGACAGAUGGUAUUGGAAUCCUGGGUCACACUGAGGCUGACUCUGUCCUCAGCAGCUCUGUUGUUAUUUGGUCAGCGACAAAAAAAAAAUCAUUCCUUAGGAACCUGCCAGGGUUAUCAGUAAUGUGAAUUUAUAUUAUUGUCACUACCAGGUCUCAUGUCGUGUUACUUCUGACCAUUAUUAUUGAACCUCAUAAAUUUCACAAGAGUUAUCCUCAGUGUAAAUUUUAAGGCUAGCGCCAGACUCUGCAAAAAUCUGUGAUGAACAGGCAGUUUGUCAAGAAUUUCACCUAUGUUUGAAAUUCCAGUAAUUUUGCUCGGUACUUUUGAUGCUCACAAAUGGAGCACAGAAAGGUUUUUUUCACAUUUUGUUCCUACAAGCUUCUUUGAAUUUCAGAGGAAAUGGGAUUAUCUGUCCAUCUGUCUGAGCUAUAAAAAUCUUUCUCCCUAGCAUUAGAAUACUGAUUUUUUUCUCCCCAACUUAUCUACCUCUAUUGUCUAACACCUACAAUAGGUGUGAUUAUGGGAUAAGGUUCAACUGAAAAUGCUAUAACAUUUUAUUUUUUGCUUUAAAAGAUGUGUUUUGUUUCAAAUAUCUCUACAUAGUGCAUUUUGGUGGCUUUAGUGAUACGCUUAUGCCUAUUUCUUUUUUUACACAAAUACUAUGGCAUAUUUUUCCAUAAAGAAUAAAAAAAUAAAAUCAAAAUUUAUUUGUAAUUCAGCUUAUUGGGAUCUAAUUUUUCACCUCAAAAUAUUUUAUUAUGUGUUAUGCACUGUCAGGCUAUCCAUGUAUGCAUUUUUUUGUCUAAAUGUAUUUAUAAAGGAAAUACAUUAGAGUGGUGAUAUUUAUGUUUACUCAUUUUUCCACCAGGAUUAUUUUUACAUGGUUGUUAAUGAAAUUUGAUUUUUUUAAUGGAUAAUAAUGUUAAUCUUUCCAUGUGUUCUUUUCUAAGUUUUAAAUUUUAUAUUUUUCAAAAAUUCUUCCCUAUUCUGUUUAAAACUAACACACCUCUGGCUAAUGUUCAGUGUUUGUUUAUGCUAAAUACCAAAUUUUUACAAAAGGAUUGGUGACAUAAUAAAAUGGAUUAUUUAUGAUGA